CUGCAAGCCCUGGAGAAGGAAGCCUCCUCUUUAUCCACAGAACAGGUAAAGCAUAAGCAGCUGCAGAGAAAACUUCCCACGUCCCCAGCCAAGGUGCCAGGCCUCAGAGUGGAGAUGCAGGUCUCGCCUCUAGACUCGAGGAAUUCAGUCUGACACUGCCAACUGGAGCUGGG
ensembl:misc_RNA